GCAGAAAAAUAGCCAGUUACUGUUGUGCCGCUCUCAAGGGGUUCGCUCCUAUUUCUGUAGCAAAGGUUAACUAGCCUGCAAGCGUAGGCUAGGCCAUUGUAUCAUGGAUUUGAAAGAAACCUGUGCCCUUGAUAGGAGAUAAAUACAAGCUGGACCUGCCUGUGUCAUCUGUAUUUCUUAAAAAAAAGAUGUGAGGAUAGGAGCAGGUGACAAUAAUGCUUUCUCUCACUCAAAUGUAGCCUUCAACCCAGGUGAAUGUCUUUCCUAGGGGAAGACAGGGCACACGGCAUAACAGAAUCUCUGGCUCUGGAUGAGGAUCCCAUGUGACAGAAAGCUUAUAAAAUGGAUUUGCAGAAAAUCUGCUCGACCAUACUGGCCUAAAAGUCACAGCAGUUUCUUACUGUUUCUUUUUCAUAACAGGUAAGCAAUUCCUUACUUAUCCCACAGUCAAUUUAACUGGAAGGUUUUGCAUUCAUGGCUUCAGCUAACUGGGAUUAACAUCUCAGUGUGUCACCAUUUUAGGCAAGCUUCCGUGAUUGUUGUUUUCUUAAUCUCUUUAGUUUCCCUGUGGAGUUCAGACAGAGCUUUGACCCUGGCUGUUGAAAGGAAGAAACUGUUAGUUUUUCUAACCUAAGGGACAGAGGAAUUGCUAAUUACUAAAAAUACAUUUGAGGCGUGUUCAUCGGCUUUUGGUUUCUUUUACUAUCUUUUAUCAACCAAAGACCUUAAUUUCAGCUCAAAUUAUUGGGUAUAUUUUGUGUCUUCAUGUCUCUGAUCCCCUUCCCUUUCAUUAGCAGAAAGAGACUGUCACUGAUACUGGCUGCAUGGCCAAGAGGCAAAAGGUUCCCUGUAACACUUCUAAUCCACUGAUUCAUCUGGUAUGUGCAAGGAUUUAUUUUGCCUUUAAUUUAGAUUUAAUUUGGCUUUUUUCCAUGCAAGGAUAUUUGUUUUCCAGAAUUGUUUUCAACAAUCUGCUAAGGACUGUAGUCCUUUCCAAAAUGUCUGAGGAUUUCUUGCCCCUUGAAAUUGGUCACGCAUUCCCUAGGAGGAUUUUCCAUAGAUGAUUUGAUGUCUAUGGGAUGGGAGAGAUUAUCUUCCUAUGUCUAUUCUCAGCUUUGGUCCAACUGCUGCCCGAGGAGUGACCAGCAGUUUGACCCAAUGUCUAUGCCAGUGCUCAAGCAAGUGCUGAGAUCUUUUGAAAAUCCCACCUCAAAUAUGUAGGUGGAAAUACACCCACUCCAGUAGGUGAGAACAUGAGGUGACCUAAUCUCUAGAUUUAAGCCCAACAUUGAUGCCAGUAGCACAACUGACUUGACUUAGUUGUAUUGCUCCUGAUGUGCACUGGUACGGGGAUUCAGACAGGCUGAUGCAAAACUACAGGAAAGUUUACUAAAAUAAAGGAAUAUCCAAUAAGGGAAUAAGAGAGAAACAUUUUCACUUCAAAAGGACUCAAAGAGACUACAUAAAAAACACAGUAAUGUGCCUUUGAUAUUGCAUUUUAUGGAGUUUUUUCAUCCCUUUUUAGGACAAGGGCACUCAUCUCUGGCAGGAUCUCCUUGGAAACGCUGGUUGUAGAAAGCCAUUCUGUCCCCAACAGACAGCACAUCUGUAUGCUGGCAAGCUCAUUCCGAGCAGCCGAGCUUCAUUCAGCGUUUGUGCGUGUUCACAGGAGCAGCUUGGUGGGUAGCGAGAUUCAGACGUUAGUUCUGCCUGUCUGCAAGCAUCCCUGGGGAUCACUGUAUCCUUUCAUAAUUAGGCUGAAUAUUAGGAACAGUUCUUCUCUGCUAAAAUUCAUUAGGGGCUUCCAGGGUUGGAUCCUUUUACACAUGCCUAUACCAUUUGUUUGAUUUUAAGCCAUGCUGUGAGGCAGUAGCUGGGUUUUUCAUACAGUAGCUCAGCAUAAAGGGGUUAGUUUAAAUCUUGCGCACUUGAUCUUUGUACUUGGACAACGUCCUUGCAAUGUAACGCACGCUGUCAGCCCUGGGUUUGCUGUAAUUUCUACUUUUUUUAUACGCCUACAGUGCUAAGCAUGUGCUACGCAGACCCAGCGCGGUGGGAUUUUCCAAACAGACUGACCCACAGCUGCAGGAUGAAGGCCUAUGGGACCAGACCUGAUCCGCCCAAGAAUACCGAGGAAGUGAUGAAGUCACUGGAGGCGUUCAAAGAACAUGUAGAUGUGGCACAUCAUGACAUGGUUUAGUAGGCAUGGUGAGGCUGCACCGGGUGAUCUUAG